rnacentral:lncRNA from 1 species
CUAUUAUCUAUCUUCUACAAAAGAGAGCAGGUCCUCAGUUUCUGCAACUUGAUUGACUUCAGUAAGUUUAAUAUAACCAAAGAUUUGAUUUUGUAUUUGGAGUCUUUCUGUUGGGGUCUUUUUCAAUCAGUUUUCACCUGUUGCAGAUGUGAAUUUCAGCUCACCAUCCUGAAGGGCCUUUCCAUACUAGCCAAAGACAAAAAAGAGGAAAUCGUGGGGAAGAUUUGCAUAUACAAGUUCAUGAAAACAGGCAGCAAGGAAGACAAGGGCCCCAGCCGUGCCUUCCACAAUGGAUACGACUACAACAUGAGCCUCACCAGGCAGAGGUGCCAGUCUAGUUUAAAAGAAAAGGAGCACCCAGACUGCUUGCCUAUCUGAGAUCUUGUUCCACUAGCCAGGUGGCUUUUG